GCGGUCGUGGCGAAGUGGUUAACGCACCGGAUUGUGGCUCCGGCACUCAUGGGUUCGAUUCCCAUCGAUCGCCCCA
rnacentral:tRNA from 1 species